GGAGGAAUAUUGGUCAAUGGGCGAGAGCCUGAACCAGCCAAGUAGCGUGCAGGAAGACGGCCCUAUGGGUUGUAAACUGCUUUUAUAGGGGAAUAAAGUGAGCCACGUGUGGCUUUUUGCAUGUACCCUAUGAAUAAGGACCGGCUAAUUCCGUGCCAGCAGCCGCGGUAAUACGGAAGGUCCGGGCGUUAUCCGGAUUUAUUGGGUUUAAAGGGAGCGUAGGCCGGAGAUUAAGCGUGUUGUGAAAUGUAGACGCUCAACGUCUGCACUGCAGCGCGAACUGGUUUCCUGG
rnacentral:rRNA from 1 species